AUUGAACGCUGGCGGCAGGCCUAACACAUGCAAGUCGAGCGAGCGGCGGACGGGUGAGUAAUGUAUGUGAAACUGCCUGAUGGAGGGGGAUAACUACUGGAAACGGUAGCUAAUACCGCAUCCCAUCAGAUGUGCCCAGCUGGGAUUAGCGGGUAGGGUGGGUAACGGCUCACCUAGGCGACGAGCCCUAGCUGGUCUGAUAGGAUGACCAGCCACACUGGGACUGAGACACGGUCCAGACUCCUACGAGGGGCAGCAGUGGGGAAGAUUGCACAAUGGGCGCAAGCCUGAUGCAGCCAUGCCGCGUGUGUGAAGAAGGCCUUCGGGUUGUAAAGCACUUUCAGCGGGGAGGCGUUACCCGCAGAAGAAGCACCGGCUAACUCCGUGCCAGCAGCCGCGGUAAUUC
rnacentral:rRNA from 1 species